rnacentral:rRNA from 1 species
GACGAACGCUGGCGGCGUGCUUAACACAUGCAAGUCGAACGGAAAGGCCCCUUUGGGGGUACUCGAGUGGCGCACGGGUGCGUAACACGUGAGUAACCUGCCCUUGACUUCGGGAUAACUUCAGGAAACUGGGGCUAAUACCGGAUAGGAAUCCUUGCUGCAUGGUGGGGGUUGGAAAGCUUCUGCGGUUUUGGGUGGACUCGCGGCUUAUCAGCUUGUUGGUGGGGUAGUGGCUUACCAAGGCUUUGACGGGUAGCCGGCCUGCGAGGGCGACCGGCCACAUUGGGACUGAGGUACGGCCCAGACUCCUACGGGAGGAAGAAGUGGGGAAUAUUGCACAAUGGGCGGCAGCCUGAUGCAGCAACGCCGCGGGCGGGAUGACGGCCUUCGGGUUGUAAACCGCUUUCAGCAGGGGCGAAGCUUGUGGUGACGGUACCUGCAGAAGAAGCACCGGCUAACUACGUG